CUGGACGACCCUUCGGGAGCUUGUACAGGUGCUGCAUGGCUGUCGUCAGCUCGUGUCGUGAGAUGUCGGUUAAGUCCGCUAACGAGCGCAACCCUCGCUGUGUGUUACAAGUGUCACACGGAACUGCCGGUCAUAAACCGGAGGAAGGUGGGAUGACGUCAAGUCAGCAUGGCCUUUAUAUCCUGGGCUACACACACGCUACAAUGGGAAGGGACAAUAGGUUGCGAAGCCGCGAGGCGGAGCCAAUCCAGCAAAACUUCCCUCAGUUCAGAUUGCAGGCUGCAACUCGCCUGCAUGAAGUUGGAGUUGCUAGUAAACGCAGGUCAGCCAUACUGCGUUGAAUACGUUCCCGGGGCUU
rnacentral:rRNA from 1 species